CAAGUAACAUUGUUCACAACGUUUUAUUCACAACGUUUCUCUAUUGCCGAAUUCCUCAAAUAACCAUUUUUCAUAACGUGUCUCUUCCUCAGUAGUUUUUUCUCUAAUGUCCCCGAAAAAAGAAACCACUUUUUAUAUUCGAACUCCUCUCAUCAACGAUGCAGGAGUAAAUUACACCGUCACUUCGGAUGACCCUUUGAAGGAUGUUAUGCAACAGUAGGCAAAGGUUAAGGGGCUUAUUUUCGAAAAACUAAUUUUUUCUACAAUGAGAAAGCAAUAGGAGAGAGGGAUACUCCAACUGGGAUUCAUCUGGAACAAGAUUCCAUAGUUCUCGUUGUUCAUGAGGACCGCCCCUUACCUGUAGGAAUCCACUUGAAUUUCCUGAUCAAGAACUUUAGGACAGCGCCCACUACGGUACGAGCACGUAUAUGUUCAACUGAAAAAGUUAAUUACAUCCGGAAGGUUUGGACUGAGUAUAUGGGAGGAAAUCCAGAGAACCUUACACUUAUUCAUGGGAAGGAGGAACUUAACCCAAAAGUCACUCUAAGUGAUACACAAAUAAGGGAUGGUGAUACCGUUUAUGCAGUCUUCAAGAGUUAUGAGAGGGGUUAUAAGUAUGCGUAAGUAUUGUAAUUCGUAACUUGAAUUUUAUUAGUAAUUAUAUCUAUUUUCCUUUAUAUGUAUCCUUUGGAUCGGUUUACAAAUUGAACUUAGUUUCGUUGUAUUAAAUCCAGUGAUUGAAUGCUAUUAAUUAAAUGAAAUGUUAACUAUUA